AUGGAUGCCCUCAGCUGGGAGGGUGGCUUUGUGGGACCGUUCCUGAAGGCGCCCCUGCACAAAUGGCAUCUGCCUCUGGUGGCCAGUCACCUCCUCGCUGCUGGGAGCCACCACAGCCCCCUUCUGCAGUCCCCUGUGAGCUUUCCAGCCAGCACAAGGCAAAGGCACUCCAGCCAUGCACAGGAACACCCUCGCAGCCCCACAAGGCUGAGCGCUGCUCGGUGCCUCCUCACGUGGGCAUCCUCCAGCGGGUCUGGUCCCUCUGUGACAGACUUUGGCAAGCAGAGAGCUGGAUUUGCUGUGGCAGCUGCUGGCACCAGGGGCAUUGCCACCUCCAGAGGCAGCUCAGGGUGGUGCUCAGCCCAGGACUCACUCACACACACUCUGCAGGUCCCCAGGGAGGACUGGUGGCCCCGGGGCUGUGCAGGUCAAGCCCGGAGCUCGCUGAGCCGCUUCUCCUCCUGCAGCUGGAUGAGGAUGUUCCGCUUGUUCACCACCUCCACCAGCUGCUUCAGGAUCUCCUGCUCAGCCUUCUCAUCCUCAGGUGUCUUCAGGGCAUCUGUGGGUGCAGGGGGCUGGAGUAGAGCUGGCAAGGCCACAAGGCCUGACCUGCUCCCUGCACCGUGCAAAGGGAUCCUCUCCCUGGCACGUGCUGGCACUCACCCUCCUUGUUCAUGUAGCUCCGGAGCUUCUCGUCAAGCUGGCACUGCUGCUCCUCCAGCUUCAGUUCCUGCACCCUGUGGGGAGGAAGAGGCUGUGCUGGGUACUGAAUUUGCAGGGGAUUGGGGUGAGCUGAGCCCCCACACCCACCAGGGAGCAUCCCCCAAGCCUCACGCGAUCAUGAGGUCCGACUCCUCGGUCAUCAGAUUGUUCUUCUUCUGCACCAGGUACAGCAGCUGGUUUGUCCACUGUGUGUGCUGGUCAGCCAGGCUGUCUGCAGGACAGGGGGAUGGUCAGCAGGGUGCAGACCCCCACUGCAGGGUCACAGUGCUCUGCCCCCCUGGCUUUACCAUUCUCAUCCCGGAGUAA
rnacentral:lncRNA from 14 species